UGCAGUCGAACGGUAGCAGGAAGUGCUUGCACUUUGCUGACGAGUGGCGGACGGGUGAGUAAUACUUAGGAACAUGCCUUUGUGUGGGGGAUAACCAUUGGAAACGAUGGCUAAUACCGCAUAAUGUCUUUGGACCAAAGAGGGCUUUCGGGCUCUCGCGCAAAGAGUGGCCUAAGUGAGAUUAGCUUGUUGGUGAGGUAAAGGCUCACCAAGGCGACGAUCUCUAGCUGUUCUGAGAGGAAGAUCAGCCACACUGGGACUGAGACACGGCCCAGACUCCUACGGGAGGCAGCAGUGGGGAAUAUUGCACAAUGGGGGCAACCCUGAUGCAGCCAUGCCGCGUGUGUGAAGAAGGCCUUCGGGUUGUAAAGCACUUUCAGUUGUGAGGAAAGGUUGGUGGUUAAUACCCAUCAGCUGUGACGUUAGCAACAGAAGAAGCACCGGCUAACUCCGUGCCAGCAGCCGCGGUAAUACGGAGGGUGCGAGCGUUAAUCGGAAUUACUGGGCGUAAAGCGCACGCAGGCGGUUAUAUAAGCUAGAUGUGAAAGCCCCGGGCUCAACCUGGGAAUAGCAUUUAGAACUGUAUGACUAGAGUCUUGGAGAGGGGGGUGGAAUUCCAGGUGUAGCGGUG
rnacentral:rRNA from 1 species